rnacentral:rRNA from 1 species
AGAGUUUGAUCCUGGCUCAGAUUGAACGCUGGCGGCAGGCCUAACACAUGCAAGUCGAGCGGUAACAGAUCCAGCUUGCUGGAUGCUGACGAGCGGCGGACGGGUGAGUAAUGCAUAGGAGUUUACCCGAUAGUGGGGGAUAACCUGGGGAAACUCAGGCUAAUACCGCAUACGUCCUACGGGAGAAAGGGGGCUCCGGCUCCCGCUAUCGGAUGAGCCUAUGCCGGAUUAGCUAGUUGGUGAGGUAAUGGCUCACCAAGGCGACGAUCCGUAGCUGGUCUGAGAGGAUGAUCAGCCACAUCGGGACUGAGACACGGCCCGAACUCCUACGGGAGGCAGCAGUGGGGAAUAUUGGACAAUGGGGGCAACCCUGAUCCAGCCAUGCCGCGUGUGUGAAGAAGGCCCUCGGGUUGUAAAGCACUUUCAGUGAGGAAGAACGCCUGAUGGUUAAUACCCGUCAGGAAAGACAUCACUCACAGAAGAAGCACCGGCUAACUCCGUGCCAGCAGCCGCGGUAAUACGGAGGGUGCAAGCGUUAAUCGGAAUUACUGGGCGUAAAGCGCGCGUAGGUGGCUUGAUAAGCCGGUUGUGAAAGCCCCGGGCUCAACCUGGGAACGGCAUCCGGAACUGUCAGGCUAGAGUGCAGGAGAGGAAGGUAGAAUUCCCGGUGUAGCGGUGAAAUGCGUAGAGAUCGGGAGGAAUACCAGUGGCGAAGGCGGCCUUCUGGACUGACACUGACACUGAGGUGCGAAAGCGUGGGUAGCAAACAGGAUUAGAUACCCUGGUAGUCCACGCCGUAAACGAUGUCGACCAGCCGUUGGGUGCCUAGCGCACUUUGUGGCGAA